rnacentral:rRNA from 1 species
GAUGAACGCUAGCGGCAGGCCUAACACAUGCAAGUCGAGGGAGAAGCCCUUUCGGGGGCAGAAACCGGCGCACGGGUGCGUAACGCGUAUGCAACCUACCUUUCACAGGGGGAUAGCCCGAAGAAAUUUGGAUUAAUACCCCAUAAUAUUGUUGGAUGGCAUCAUUUGGCAAUUAAAACUGCGGUGGUGAAAGAUGGGCAUGCGUCCUAUUAGCUAGUUGGAGUGGUAACGGCACCCCAAGGCUACGAUAGGUAGGGGUCCUGAGAGGGAGAUCCCCCACACUGGUACUGAGACAGGGACCAGACUCCUACGGGAGGCAGCAGUGAGGAAUAUUGGUCAAUGGUCGGAAGACUGAACCAGCCAUGCCGCGUGCAGGAAGAAUGCCUUAUGGGUUGUAAACUGCUUUUAUAUGGGAAGAAUAAGGCGUACGUGUACGUUGAUGACGGUACCAUAUGAAUAAGCAUCGGCUAACUCCGUG